rnacentral:rRNA from 1 species
UACGGAGGGUGCAAGCGUUAUCCGGAUUUACUGGGUUUAAAGGGUGCGUAGGUGGUUAAUUAAGUCAGUGGUGAAAUCUUCAGGCUUAACCUGGAAACUGCCAUUGAUACUAUUCGUCUUGAAUACUUUGGAGGUAAGCGGAAUAUGUCAUGUAGCGGUGAAAUGCUUAGAUAUGACAUAGAACACCAAUUGCGAAGGCAGCUUACUACACAGUAAUUGACACUGAGGCACGAAAGCGUGGGGAUCAAACAGG